GGUUAAGCGACUAAGCGUACACGGUGGAUGCCCUGGCAGUCAGAGGCGAUGAAGGACGUGCUAAUCUGCGAUAAGCGUCGGUAAGGUGAUAUGAACCGUUAUAACCGGCGAUUUCCGAAUGGGGAAACCCAGUGUGUUUCGACACACUAUCAUUAACUGAAUCCAUAGGUUAAUGAGGCGAACCGGGGGAACUGAAACAUCUAAGUACCCCGAGGAAAAGAAAUCAACCGAGAUUCCCCCAGUAGCGGCGAGCGAACGGGGAGCAGCCCAGAGCCUGAAUCAGUGUGUGUGUUAGUGGAAGCGUCUGGAAAGGCGCGCGAUACAGGGUGACAGCCCCGUACACAAAAAUGCACAUGCUGUGAGCUCGAUGAGUAGGGCGGGACACGUGGUAUCCUGUCUGAAUAUGGGGGGACCAUCCUCCAAGGCUAAAUACUCCUGACUGACCGAUAGUGAACCAGUACCGUGAGGGAAAGGCGAAAAGAACCCCGGCGAGGGGAGUGAAAAAGAACCUGAAACCGUGUACGUACAAGCAGUGGGAGCACGCUUAGGCGUGUGACUGCGUACCUUUUGUAUAAUGGGUCAGCGACUUAUAUUCUGUAGCAAGGUUAACCGAAUAGGGGAGCCGAAGGGAAACCGAGUCUUAACUGGGCGUUAAGUUGCAGGGUAUAGACCCGAAACCCGGUGAUCUAGCCAUGGGCAGGUUGAAGGUUGGGUAACACUAACUGGAGGACCGAACCGACUAAUGUUGAAAAAUUAGCGGAUGACUUGUGGCUGGGGGUGAAAGGCCAAUCAAACCGGGAGAUAGCUGGUUCUCCCCGAAAGCUAUUUAGGUAGCGCCUCGUGAAUUCAUCUCCGGGGGUAGAGCACUGUUUCGGCAAGGGGGUCAUCCCGACUUACCAACCCGAUGCAAACUGCGAAUACCGGAGAAUGUUAUCACGGGAGACACACGGCGGGUGCUAACGUCCGUCGUGAAGAGGGAAACAACCCAGACCGCCAGCUAAGGUCCCAAAGUCAUGGUUAAGUGGGAAACGAUGUGGGAAGGCCCAGACAGCCAGGAUGUUGGCUUAGAAGCAGCCAUCAUUUAAAGAAAGCGUAAUAGCUCACUGGUCGAGUCGGCCUGCGCGGAAGAUGUAACGGGGCUAAACCAUGCACCGAAGCUGCGGCAGCGACGCUUAUGCGUUGUUGGGUAGGGGAGCGUUCUGUAAGCCUGUGAAGGUGUGCUGUGAGGCAUGCUGGAGGUAUCAGAAGUGCGAAUGCUGACAUAAGUAACGAUAAAGCGGGUGAAAAGCCCGCUCGCCGGAAGACCAAGGGUUCCUGUCCAACGUUAAUCGGGGCAGGGUGAGUCGACCCCUAAGGCGAGGCCGAAAGGCGUAGUCGAUGGGAAACAGGUUAAUAUUCCUGUACUUGGUGUUACUGCGAAGGGGGGACGGAGAAGGCUAUGUUGGCCGGGCGACGGUUGUCCCGGUUUAAGCGUGUAGGCUGGUUUUCCAGGCAAAUCCGGAAAAUCAAGGCUGAGGCGUGAUGACGAGGCACUACGGUGCUGAAGCAACAAAUGCCCUGCUUCCAGGAAAAGCCUCUAAGCAUCAGGUAACAUCAAAUCGUACCCCAAACCGACACAGGUGGUCAGGUAGAGAAUACCAAGGCGCUUGAGAGAACUCGGGUGAAGGAACUAGGCAAAAUGGUGCCGUAACUUCGGGAGAAGGCACGCUGAUAUGUAGGUGAAGUCCCUCGCGGAUGGAGCUGAAAUCAGUCGAAGAUACCAGCUGGCUGCAACUGUUUAUUAAAAACACAGCACUGUGCAAACACGAAAGUGGACGUAUACGGUGUGACGCCUGCCCGGUGCCGGAAGGUUAAUUGAUGGGGUUAGCGGUAACGCGAAGCUCUUGAUCGAAGCCCCGGUAAACGGCGGCCGUAACUAUAACGGUCCUAAGGUAGCGAAAUUCCUUGUCGGGUAAGUUCCGACCUGCACGAAUGGCGUAAUGAUGGCCAGGCUGUCUCCACCCGAGACUCAGUGAAAUUGAACUCGCUGUGAAGAUGCAGUGUACCCGCGGCAAGACGGAAAGACCCCGUGAACCUUUACUAUAGCUUGACACUGAACAUUGAGCCUUGAUGUGUAGGAUAGGUGGGAGGCUU
rnacentral:rRNA from 1 species